GUGUGCCUGGAGGGCGGCUGCCGUGUGCACCGCACCCCGGUGCUGGUGUUAGGACAACGCCCGCUGGUGCGCUGCCGCUUUUUGCAGAGGGUGCGUUUCGAUCUAGUUUGAUAUGUUUCCAGAGAGCUCGGGAGGGCCCCUCACAACCGCGUCCAGCUGGGGGCACAUUCUUCACGGAACCACUGGCUUGAGAACAUUCCCUCAGCCUUCCGGGACUUAAAGGAGCAGACAUGUAGAGGAAACAGGAAGUCAGAUAUUUCUGGCUCCCACGAGCAAUCAGGGACCACACAGGAAGGAAUUCAUCCCAUCGGAAAUCAGCCUGGUCCCAAGAUCGCUGGUCAUAGCGCCAUCGCAAGUUGAUGAUUAUCCAGCAUCAGGGUUGAUGGGAGAUUUUCUGAGUGACACAGCCAGCUGGAAACAAUAUCUACCGAACAUGACCAUGGGCUCCAAGCAUCCAGAGACUUCACAGGCAUGCAUCUCGACCAUCCUGAAUGUCAGUCAGGCAGAAGCACCCUGAAUCCUGUAACCUCUCCUUAGGAAGAAUGGAAUUUCCCCAAAUAGAGGAGUCAAGCUAAAUGAAGGAACCCUCAGGUACAUGGACCACAGUGCGUGCUGUGGCAUCCGAGCGGCACAUGCGUCCCCAGAGAGUGUCCUCCUCCAUGUGUCCUCAGCUGGAACACCCACGGACGGAUGAUGAAACCCUAACCCUGGGCAACAGGCCCAGCCAGUGUUUUUAAAAAGUGCUCGCUUUCUUCCAGUGAGAGGUCAUGGCAUUGGAGAAACAGUUUCAGUGUCUCUCCACUAAUCCAAGUAUUUAAAAACGUCUUCCAGAAUGAUUUUAUAAUUUUCUCCAAUAUGAUCUUUAAAAAAAUUAUUUCUGUUUUGUUGUUAUUUAAAAUGCUUUUAGAAUUUCAUUUUAUGCUUGUUACCAGUGUCCAGAAAUGGAAUUUUUCUACUGAAUUAAUUUUUAAACAGAAACAAAAACAUAAAGUUGUACGUGUCGCUGGGGUGUCCUGCGCUGUUUCAGUCCAGGUGUACACUGUAUAACUCUUAACCUAGGGCAGGCAGGUCUGUCCCUCCAGCAUUUGUCACUUCUCUGUGGACAGAACACUCAGAACCCUGUGCUACAGCGUUGCGAGAUCGAGCAGCCAGAGCCUGUGAGUCCCAUUGAACCGAGCCAUGGGCCCACGGGCCAGCCUCCCUCCUGCAUCUCCUCUCUGCCUGCCCUGGGCCCACGUCCGCCUUCCACUCCCGGCCACCAUGAGCUCCACGUCUCCGUCUACACAGGAGUGAGGUCAUUUGCUUUCUGGUUCCUAUGGCACAGACACAACACGUAUUAUCCCUCUGUUCCCACGCGACUCGGAGUGGGUUUAACGUAAGACUUUCCCGCUGGCUCGAACCACUGGUGAGCCAUGCGUGAGUGCCCCGUCAGGCGCCUUGGACCGCCGCAGUACAAAUGGAUCUAAUGGCUCUUACCAGUCUUUUUACCACUAAAACUAAUAAGAAGCUGCCCAGUGGGACAGUCAUGUACAUAGCACAGGUGGCUCCAGUCAUCUGGCAGUGAGACACACAAAUGAUAGCCCUGUUGGGAAUAUGUUGAA